UCACUCUGUAUGUAGACCAGAUGGCCUCAAAU
rnacentral:piRNA from 1 species